rnacentral:lncRNA from 1 species
AUGCGUUUCAGGGAUGAGGAAACUGAGGAAGAGGAGCUAAACACCUUUGCAUGGUUCACAGGGAUUUGGUCACAGCAGAAGUUGUUGGAUUCAGGAGGCUACACCACCCCCAUCUGCACCUACACCACAAGCCCACACUUUCUCCUUUUGGUAUUACUGCAAUACAAAUGCUUCCUUUCUCUUAUGUGCUUGCCAAGAUCUGGAGCAGAAGCGUCAUAUUCUCAACUAUGCCAGUGGAUGUGGUCAUUCCAUUGUCAAGCCAAACUGAACCAGAGAGGUUAUAGAGCAGCACAACCACACCACACCGAAUGAGCAACCAAACAACUCUAAGUGACACAGCACAGAAAUCCUCCAUUUAACAUCCAUGAAAAGGUCUCACUAAGCUCAUUAAAUUUUUUUGCCUACAUUAUGUUGUUUGUGUGUUUUUGUGAGAGAGAAAGCAAACCAAACUGAGCUCAACAAUCAGGAAGGGGUUUGGCUGUUGCAGCAUGGCACAGCCCUUCAACAGACAGGGAUACAGUGGGUGAGUGCUGAGUAUUAAUACCUACACUCCAACUCUAGUGUGACACUCCUUUGUCUCCCAGCAUCAUAAAGUGCUUCGCCAAAGUAAGCAUAAUUGUCUCCACUCCUAGCAGAGUACCUGCAGAGACAGAUGAUACUUCGCCUUUGGCAAAAAGGGAGUAACACCCUGGCACAUAUGCCUGCCUCUCUCAACAAGCUGUUGUGCCAAAAGUGUCAAAACAAAAAGAUUUUUGUUUUCCUGUCUAACCUGUUUUCUUCUCAAAGGACAGGCCUCAUUUCAGAAACAGGCAUUUCAAAAAAGCUCUUCUGAGGUGCUUUCCUACCAAUGUAAAGCUCUGUCCCCUGUAGUGGCUGAACCCUAUAUCAAAAAAAGCUUGAGGAGCUGUUCAAGCAAAAAUGCUUGCAGGUCUGCAGGUGCAAGAUCCAUAUCAGCUAGCAAAAGACUGGGGGGCAGCAGCAAAGUAGCAUAUUUUUGCAACCUCUGGAAGGUGAAGAUAAAAUCUUAAUGCAAAGAUUGAAAAGUGAGUGAGAAAAUAAAGCAGGGAAGUACUAUAGCA